rnacentral:rRNA from 1 species
UACGGGGGGGGCAAGCGGUUGUUCGGAAUUACUGGGCGUAAAGGGCUCGUAGGUGGCCAACUAAGUCAGACGUGAAAUCCCUCGGCUUAACCGGGGAACUGCGUCUGAUACUGGAUGGCUUGAGUUUGGGAGAGGGAUGCGGAAUUCCAGGUGUAGCGGUGAAAUGCGUAGAUAUCUGGAGGAACACCGGUGGCGAAGGCGGCAUCCUGGACCAACACUGACACUGAGGAGCGAAAGCCAGGGGAGCAAACGGG